ACGGGAGGCAGCAGUGGGGAAUAUUGGGCAAUGGGCGAAAGCCUGACCCGGCAACGCCGCGUGAAGGAAGAAGGUCUUCGGAUUGUAAACUUCUUUUAUGAGGGACGAAGGACGUGACGGUACCUCAUGAAUAAGCCACGGCUAACUACGUGACAGCAGCCGCGGUAAUACGUAGAUGGCAAGCGUUAUCCGGAUUUACUGGGUGUAAAGGGCGCGUCGGCGGGGAUGCAAGUCAGAUGUGAAAUCCAUGGGCUUAACUCAUGAACUGCAUUUGAAACUGUAUCUCUUGAGUGCUGGAGAGGUAGACGGAAUUCCUAGUGUAGCGGUGAAAUGCGUAGAUAUUAGGAGGAACAUCAGUGGCGAAGGCGGCUUACUGGGCUUUAACUGACGCUGAGGCUCGAAAGCGUGGGGAGCAAACAGGAUUAGAUACCCUGGUA
rnacentral:rRNA from 1 species